rnacentral:rRNA from 1 species
UACGUAGGGGGCAAGCGUUGUCCGGAUUUAUUGGGCGUAAAGAGCGUGUAGGCGGCCAUACAGGUCAGCUGUGAAAACUCGAGGCUCAACCUCGAGACGUCGGUUGAAACCGUAUGGCUAGAGUCCGGAAGAGGAGAGUGGAAUUCCCGGUGUAGCGGUGAAAUGCGCAGAUAUCGGGAAAGAACACCCGUGGCGAAGGCGGCUCUCUGGGACGGUACUGGACGCUGAGACGCGAAAGCGUGGGGAGCGAACAGG